AUCGUUUUGUAGUUCAUGAACAUGAUGAUUGGGUUUUCAUGCGUAUGCGUGAGAUGUGCCUCCUACAAAUCUUUUUUUU
rfam:Otolemur garnettii contig149834, whole genome shotgun sequence.